ensembl:rRNA 5S_rRNA 5S ribosomal RNA
GCUUACGGCCAUACCACCUUAGGCACGCCCGAUCUAGUCUGAUCUCAGAAGGUAAGCAGGGUCGGGCCUGGUUAGUACUUGGAUGGGUGACCGCCUGGGAAUACCAGGUGCUGUAAGCA